CUCAGAUGUCUCCUCAGGUACCAUCCACCUUAUUAUUUUAUUUAUUUCUUUAUUUUGGAGAUAGGGGGUUCUUUCUUCCUCCUCCUCCUCCUCCUCUUCGGAGAGGGGUUUCUUCAUGGGACCUGUGACUCCCCAUUUUUGGGCCACUCUGGCUGGUCAGCAAGCCCCAGGGAUCUGUCUCCCCUUCCCCAGGUGUUCACAGUACAAGUGUGUACCAUCAUGCCAUGCGUGCUACUUACAUGAGUGCUAUAGGCCAGGCGCAGGUCCUCACACUGUGGGGCAGGCAUUUUACCGACAGAGCGACCUCCAAGCCAGGGCGACCUCCCGGCCGGGGCGUCGCUGUGUUGUUUUUUAUUUCUGUGUUUUUCCUCCCUGCUCAUGAGUAGCCGGUGAUUCUUAUCAUUCAGACUUUUCCAACCUUCUCCCAUGUACACCGCUUCUAAGUGACUUUGGGACAUCUCUCAGAACUGUUUUCUAUUUUUAAAAACAUAGGUGCCGUAUCUGGUGGUGUGUCCCUGUAAGCCCAGCACUGGGAAGACUGAGACAGAAAGAUUAUCAGUUUGAGAUCAGCCUGGGCUAUGUGGCAAGACCGUUUCUCAAAACAAUAAACCAACCCCCAAAAGGACUGCUAUCCCUGAGGAUGCCUGUGCCGCUCCGCGUGCUCUGAAGACCACAGCACGGGUGCACAUUAACAACCACUUUUAAGGGUUGUCCUCCAGAGCCCUCCCAUCUGGGUCACUCUAGGACGUGGCAGGACUUCUUUCCUGCCUCCUUGCAUGGGGCAGAACCUUCCACUGUGUGGCUUUACUGCAGUUUGUCUCUUCACCAGCUGACAGGCAUUUGAGUUGUUCUACUUUUCGACUCCCAUGAAGGACGUUGCUAUGAACAUUCAGUUUCUGUGUGGCCCUGUUUUCAGUUUUCUUGAGUACAUACUCCAGGAAUGGAAUUUGAGUCAUAUGAUAACUCCAUGUUCACCUUCUCAAUCAACGGAAAACUGUUUUCAAAGCCACCCGCUCACCAGUGAAGCACUGUAUGAAGAUUCUAAUAUAUUCGCAUUGUUGCCAGCA